rnacentral:rRNA from 1 species
AGAGUUUGAUCAUGGCUCAGGACGAACGCUGGCGGCGUGCUUAACACAUGCAAGUCGAGCGGAAAGGGCCACUUCGGUGGUACUCGAGCGGCGAACGGGUGAGUAACACGUGAGUAAUCUGCCCUUCACUUCGGGAUAGCUUCGGGAAACCGAAAUUAAUACCGGAUAUGAUCAUCGUCCGCAUGGGUGGUGGUGGAAAGUUUUUUCGGUGGGGGAUGUACUCGCGGCCUAUCAGCUUGUUGGUGGGGUAAUGGCCUACCAAGGCUUCGACGGGUAGCCGGCCUGAGAGGGUGACCGGCCACACUGGGACUGAGACACGGCCCAGACCCCUACGGGAGGCAGCAGUGGGGAAUAUUGGACAAUGGGCGGAAGCCUGAUCCAGCAACGCCGCGUGAGGGAUGACGGCCUUCGGGUUGUAAACCUCUUUCACCUCCGACGAAGCGUGAGUGACGGUAGGGGGAGAAGAAGCACCGGCCAACUACGUGCCAGCAGCCGCGGUAAUACGUAGGGUGCGAGCGUUGUCCGGAAUUAUUGGGCGUAAAGGGCUCGUAGGCGGUUUGUCGCGUCGGGAGUGAAAACACCGGGCUUAACUCGGUGCUUGCUUUCGAUACGGGCAGACUAGAGGUAUGCAGGGGAGAACGGAAUUCCUGGUGUAGCGGUGAAAUGCGCAGAUAUCAGGAGGAACACCGGUGGCGAAGGCGGUUCUCUGGGCAUGACCUGACGCUGAGGAGCGAAAGUGUGGGGGAGCGAACAGGAUUAGAUACCCUGGUAGUCCACACCGUAAACGUUGGGCGCUAGGUGUGGGGCCUAUUCCAUGGGUUCCGUGCCGCAGCUAACGCAUUAAGCGCCCCGCCUGGGGAGUACGGCCGCAAGGCUAAAACUCAAAGGAAUUGACGAAUCGUCGACCUGCAGGCAUGCAAGCUUGGCACUGGCCGUCGUUUACAACGUCGUGACUGGGAAAACCCUG